UACAGAGGGUGCGAGCGUUAAUCGGAAUUACUGGGCGUAAAGCGCACGUAGGUGGCGACGUAUGUCGGUUGUGAAAGCCCCGGGCUCAACCUGGGAAUUGCAUCCGAAACUGCGUUGCUGGAGUACGGAAGAGGAAGGCGGAAUUCCCGGUGUAGCGGUGAAAUGCGUAGAUAUCGGGAGGAAUACCGGUGGCGAAGGCGGCGUUCUGAACCAUUACUGACACUGAAUCGCGAAAGCUAGGGGAGCAAACGGG
rnacentral:rRNA from 1 species